rnacentral:rRNA from 1 species
UACGAAGGGUGCAAGCGUUACUCGGAAUUACUGGGCGUAAAGGGCGCGUAGGCGGCCUUCUAAGUCAGACGUGAAAUCCCUCGGCUCAACCGGGGAACUGCGUCUGAGACUGAAAGGCUUGAAUCCGGGAGAGGAAUGCGGAAUUCCAGGUGUAGCGGUGAAAUGCGUAGAUAUCUGGAGGAACACCGGUGGCGAAGGCGGCAUUCUGGACCGGCAUUGACGCUGAGGCGCGAAAGCCAGGGGAGCAAACGGG